CUAUGGGCCUGGUCAGCCCUUUGUUUAAUGGGCUGAGCUUGAGAUAGUAUCUAAAGCCCGACCCAUUUGAGCCCACGAAAAUCAGCCCACAUGCCCGCAUGUAUAUAAGCAUAACUUGGAUUGAGUUGGGAAAUAGGUCUUUUUUUUUUUUUGGGGGUUUAGUAACGGCUAUUUUGAUUUUAGAGACUCCCAACCGUUAAAAAGAAGUGCAUCAGGCAGAAACACGCUCAUCUCUUAACCUCGCCGCGGUCGCUCAUCUCUCCACACCACACUCAUCAUCUUCUUCUACAAUUUCAGCUUAACUGACUUGUCGAAUUUUUUAGUCUUUGUACCUCUAUCCAUAACUUUGGCUGGGCAAUUUCACCCAAAAAGCCUCAGACAAUCAAGAUGGAUAAUGCUAGUGGGACAGUGAAUGAGCCUGCUAAUGAUUCCACCACUCCAUCCAACAAUAAACCUGCAAGUGCACCCAGAUUAACAAGUAAAGUAUGGUCUUAUUUUAAAAGGGUUAACAAAAUUGAAAAUGGUAAACUAGUACUUAAAGCUGAAUGUGUUAUUUGUAAUACUUUGUUUGCUGGCAGUCCUAGGAGUGGUACUAGUCAUUUAUCCCGUCAUUUAAAAGAGCAUGAAGCUGCACAAGCUAGGAUUAGUCCAGGUCAUAUAUUAUUAAAUGCUGAUGUUGCUGUAAAUUUGACAAAUUUUGCUUAUGAUCAUGCUGUUGCUCGUAAAGAAGUUGAAGAUUGUAUUAUUAGAGCAGAACUGCCAUUUAAAUUUGUUGAAAGCCAUGAUUUUACAGGCAUGAUUCAGCCUGCAUUUUGUCCUUAAUAUAGGGGAAUUUCAGCUUCUACAUGUAAGGGAGAUGUGAUGAAAAAAUUUGGUAAAGAAAAGAGUGAUUUGCAUGCUCUUUUUGAA